AUUAAUUCGAUGCAACGCGAAGAACCUUACCAAGGCUUGACAUGAACCGGUAACGCCUGGAGACAGGUGCCCCGCUUGCGGUCGGUUUACAGGUGGUGCAUGGUUGUCGUCAGCUCGUGUCGUGAGAUGUUGGGUUAAGUCCCGCAACGAGCGCAACCCUCGUUCUAUGUUGCCAGCACGUGAUGGUGGGGACUCAUAGGAGACUGCCGGGGUCAACUCGGAGGAAGGUGGGGACGACGUCAAAUCAUCAUGCCCCUUAUGUCUUGGGCUUCACGCAUGCUACAAUGGCCGGUACAAAGGGUUGCGAUACUGUGAGGUGGAGUUAAUCCCAUAAAGCCGGUCUCAGUUCGGAUUGGGGUCUGCAACUCGACCCCAUGAAGUCGGAGUCGCUAGUAAUCGCAGAUCAGCAACGCUGCGGUGAAUACGUUCCCGGGCCUUGUACACACCGCCCGUCAAGUCACGAAAGUUGGUAACACCCGAAGCCGGUGGCCUAACCCCUUGUGGGAGGGAGCUGUCGAAGGUGGGACUGGCGA
rnacentral:rRNA from 1 species